rnacentral:tRNA from 1 species
GGCGCUUUGACGGAGUGGUUAACGUGCUGCCCUGCUAUCUUCUGGAUCAGCGGUUCAGGCAGUUCCUUCGGGAGCGCAGGUUCGAAUCCUGCAGGCGUCG